AAUAUGGUGGGUUUAAAUUCUGCCGUGGCAGGGCGUAUGGCUACCAACCUGAAGGUUGUGGGUUCAAUUCCCGCCCUUCGCACAUUG